rnacentral:rRNA from 1 species
GGGUUGUGAGGUUAAGCGACUAAGCGUACACGGUGGAUGCCCUGGCAGUCAGAGGCGAUGAAGGACGUGCUAAUCUGCGAUAAGCGCCGGUAAGGUGAUAUGAACCGUUAUAACCGGCGAUUUCCGAAUGGGGAAACCCAGUGUGAUUCGUCACACUAUCAUUAACUGAAUCCAUAGGUUAAUGAGGCGAACCGGGGGAACUGAAACAUCUAAGUACCCCGAGGAAAAGAAAUCAACCGAGAUUCCCCCAGUAGCGGCGAGCGAACGGGGAGGAGCCCAGAGCCUGAAUCAGCAUGUGUGUUAGUGGAAGCGUCUGGAAAGGCGCGCGAUACAGGGUGACAGCCCCGUACACAAAAGCGCAUGUGCUGUGAGCUCGAUGAGUAGGGCGGGACACGUGGUAUCCUGUCUGAAUAUGGGGGGACCAUCCUCCAAGGCUAAAUACUCCUGACUGACCGAUAGUGAACCAGUACCGUGAGGGAAAGGCGAAAAGAACCCCGGCGAGGGGAGUGAAAAAGAACCUGAAACCGUGUACGUACAAGCAGUGGGAGCACAGGUUUACCUGUGUGACUGCGUACCUUUUGUAUAAUGGGUCAGCGACUUAUAUUCUGUAGCAAGGUUAACCGAAUAGGGGAGCCGGAGGGAAACCGAGUCUUAA